rnacentral:rRNA from 1 species
AGUGUGGACGCCAGUCUGCAUGGAGCCGACCUUGAAAUACCACCCUUUAAUGUUUGAUGUUCUAACGUUGACCCGUGAUCCGGGUUGCGGACAGUGUCUGGUGGGUAGUUUGACUGGGGCGGUCUCCUCCUAAAGAGUAACGGAGGAGCACGAAGGUUGGCUAAUCCUGGUCGGACAUCAGGAGGUUAGUGCAAUGGCAUAAGC